UACAAUUAUUUUUAUUUCAGGUUUGUGUGACAGCUGGUCUGAUAUAUGAUAGCUAUUGUUCCAUCCUAGGAAGGGCCUAGCAAUAGAUUCUCUCUAGGAUUUAAUUGUUUGGAAGUGCUAUUACCAUACAUGCUACUGACAGCUAUCAAAAUAGAGAUGCACAAGUGAGAGAAGAGCUGGGACUGGAAAAUGAAAGACAUUCCCUUAAGCACCAUUCCCACGGCUGCAAAAGGAGACCAGAGGAUCUUCCUGUUUCCUUUCCCCACCCCAGCACCUCCCAUCAAAAAACAAGUGUACUCAAGGGAAGUUUUUACUUAUCAGAGUGCAAACCAGAGCCAAAAGACUGUCAAGUAUGAAGCACAAUGGUCGUGAAGACACUUUGCUGUCAUGAAGUGGAGAAGAGUCAUGGCUGUCAUUCUACCAAUGGCAAUCUGAAAACAGAGAAGCUCAACUCCUUUGAUUUGGCUCAAACAACUUUCUGAUGUGCACAGAGGAGGUUUGUGAAAUGAGGAGGGAAGACCAUCUAUCAUAAACCCCAGGCUACUGUCCAAUUAACAAGGCCAUCCUGUGUCUGAGAAACUGUUGAAUCUGGCCUUGGGCCAUAAUUCAUUCUUAUUAGAGCCAAUAAUUUCCAUCAUUAACAUAGUGGCUUCUCCUGGCCUACACUGAGCAGAUAGAUAGGCUCUAGAGAAACUUUAACAUGUAAAAAGCCCUGGCAGAUACUGCCCUGGUCAUAGGUGGGUAAUCCUCAACAUACCUCAACAAAGAGGGUGAAAGAGAGAGAAGUAUCGUUUUAUUAGUGUAGCGACACAAGUAGUCCAGUUUUCUUAAAUUCUUCCUGAAGUUCCAAGAUGGCAGCCUCAAGGCUAAUUUUAGCUGAAGUCAACUUAUUUUCUCUAGGUCAGAGAAAAGUUCUGUGAAAUUCAGGGCAGCGACUGCACCUUAACAGAGCAACUCUCCUUUUACUUUCUCUGGGCUGGUAUUAGAGACACCAGCCUUUAGGAAGCCCAGGUGCUGACACUCUACCUCUACAGAAGAUUUCUCAGUCCAAGUGAGAAGCUCAUGGAAUCACCAUGCUCCUCUCUCAUAUUGACGCUGGGCAGAAGGUGAAGACAUCUGGCUGAGUACACGUGGGAACCUGACUCUGCCCUAGCAGGUAGUAGAGCACAAGCUGGGAUGGAUAAUUCUGGUCCUUUUCUACUCUGUGCAGUGCUGGACUAAUGUGAGAAGUCUUCUUUUUGGAGGGCUGAAUUUGGACAACCCGUUCUGUGCUCUUGAAAGUGAGAGUCUGGUCACCUAAUUGCCAGAGUCCGUUACGUUUCAAUUCAGGACACACAUGGGCCUAGCCCCAGUGGGAGGGGUGGGGAAUGCCCCUCUCUACUCCUUCUAGAGUGCCUGGUAGCCUAAGGAGGUCAUGCAGUGAGGCUGUGGGAAACAUGGCCAAAGAGGAUCUUCCAUUCCUUGACAGCUGUUCUCCCAGGAAACUAUAGUUACUGCUAAGUACAAAGAGCAGAACUUAUCCACUAGUGCCCUUCUACAGAAGACUCAGCUUGGAUGUCAAGAGGAAGCAGGUAUUGAAUUUCUGCAUUUUUUCUUUAUGAGGUCAGUGGAGAGAAGCGAUCCUUUAGCUUAGAUGUCCCUGACCACUUGCAGACACGUGUCUGCCUUUUUCCAUGGAGCACGUAAGAAACCUGUGGUCACUGUACAGACAAGGCUCCUGGAGUGCAGACUCGACUGAGUUGAGUGUGAGUGGCUGAUUUAGGUGUCUACCUACGUUAAAAUGGCUGUAAAUAUUUUAAACUAGAAGUUGAAAAACUAUAGCAGAUACUUGAGGAACAAGUGACUGACUUUUAACAUGAUUACUGUUACUUUUGAAUAAAAGCAUUAUAAACAGAAGGCUUCA
ensembl:lncRNA